UACGUAGGGUGCAAGCGUUAUCCGGAAUUAUUGGGCGUAAAGAGCUCGUAGGCGGUUUGUCACGUCUGCUGUGAAAACUGGAGGCUCAACCUCCAGCCUGCAGUGGGUACGGGCAGACUGGAGUGUGGUAGGGGAGACUGGAAUUCCUGGUGUAGCGGUGGAAUGCGCAGAUAUCAGGAGGAACACCGGUGGCGAAGGCGGAUCUCUGGGCCGAUACUGACGCUGAGGAGCGAAAGCGUGGGGAGCGAACAGG
rnacentral:rRNA from 1 species